UCAGGUGGCCUUCCGGCGUCAUGACGGACGCACGCUGCCCAAUCACAAGAAGCUUAUCCCGGCGUCUGAGGAGAAGCUACCGGUCCUAUUUUAGGACAAAACACUUCGAGAUUAGAAAUGAGCCGGGCGGCGGCGGCGCACGCCUUUAAUCCCAGCACUCGGGCGGGAGGCAGGGCCAGGAGGAUCUCUGUGAGUUCGAGGCCAGCCUGGUCUACAGAGCGAGCUCCAGGACAGGCUCCAAAGCUACAUAGAGAAACCUACCUGAACUGAGUCUACCAGAAAUCAGGAAUGGGCAAGUCUGGAGAGUCAGAUGACCUGUGGACAGCAUUGAGGCCAUAUUGAGAGGAUUGAUUAUUGCAAGAGUGCCCACCCAGCUAUGACUGAAUUUAGACUCCUCAGAAGCCAUAUAUAGCCUUUGCACCUGUGACCCCAACAAGGAGGAAUUUGGAAUAAAAAUCCUUCAUCUUCCAACUCAAUGGCUUGUUGCUAAUAAUGGCUUUCCCAUCACUUUUGUCUAUUGACAAGAGAACACCAGAACAAAAUGUGGCACCAGAACAGAACCUUUUACAGUUAUGUGAUGAGAUAACCCACUGCUAAAUGUUGGACUUUGCAGAUAUAAAUAAGGUUGCUAAUUAUUUGACUUCAAAAUAAAUAAAUUACCCUUUAUUUUGUCCAAAAUACAAUUCUCACUUCAAAGGGAAUAAGAAGAGAGUUUAUUCUGGAGCCAAACAUGAGUGACCAUGACCCAGAAUUCAGGCCACCACCAAGACCAUGUUCAACAGUUUCAUGAAGACUGUAUAGUUACAGAACAACAACAAAAUCAUCAAUGAAGACACUUUUCUAAUAUAUUGGUGGGUACAUCAGGUAGGCAGGUUUGAGUAACGCAAAGAAAUCUCCGCCGCAGGUUUCAGACACUAUCCGAUGACAUGCAUUGCUUUUGGAAUGGUGGAAGCUAGGGCUAUGAUAAUAGAUUUCUAAUAGUUUCACUGAUUGCCACAGGAUGUAAGGUCUGACAGAGGUGGACACUGAAUGGAUACUAAGGAUGUUAAAGACACCCCUCAAGAUUAUUUGGUUCUGGAUCUACAACAUUCCAACUCUCUACAGCAAUAACAUUGUAACCAAUCAAGUAACCUUGUAGAAUGUUUAACAAAGGUGUUUUGUUUGUUUGUUUGUUUGUUUUCUGGCAUGGCAGAAGCCAGAAAGCAUUGAAGUAUACAAGGAAUUCAACGUUUCAGUUCCUGGUCUGAAUAUGAAAAGGGAACUGAGAAAGAAUGUGGACAGUCUAAAUAAACAAAGAACCUCGAGGCUGGUGGCCUGCAAGAAGAUGGGGACUUGAGACAUACAGCAAGGAGCUGAACUCUCUGGAGCAAAAUGAGUGUAGAGGUGGAUUCUUCCUCAGAGGCUCCAGACAGGAAUGUAGGCCCACAGACAGCUUAAAAUUUCAGCCCUGUGGAAACUGUGAAAUAAAAAAUUUGUAUUGUUUGAAGCUAACAAAAUGCAGUCAUUUGUUAUGACAAUGAAAGAAAAAAACUUCAGAAAAAAACUACACACACACGUGCAUAUACACUCAUACAGACAUGUAAGCUGUAAGUAUAUGUUUUUUUUUUAAUGUUUAAAAAAAGUAGAAAGUGAUUGAGGAAGACACCCAGUGUCAACCUCUGGCUACUACAUGCAUGCACACCUAUUUCUAUAUGCACCAGCAUGCAUAUACACACACAUAUGAACAUCAUAAAAAGUAACAGCUGUUUUUUGGUUGGUUGGUUGGUUUUUCCAGACAGGGUUUUUCUGUGUAGCCCUGGCUGUCCUGGAACUCACUCUGUAGACCAGACUGGCAUCAAACUCAUAGAGAUCCACCUGCUUCUUCCUCCUGAGUGCUGGGAUUAAAGGCAUGGGACACCACUACCCGACCACCUUCCUUUAUACAUUUAUAACAAGUCUUCCUGGAUUAUUUUGUUAUGUAAAUUUAGUCAAUAAAGGACUGCAUGCAUG